GUCAACUCCGGCAUCGUGCUGAGCCUCGCCGCCGUGCUGUGGACCGUGGUGUGGAACAGCCUCCAGUCGCUGCAGCUGCACCACCUGGUCGGCCGCCACCUCGCCCGCCACGCCCGCCGCCUCGCCGCCGUCGUCGACCCCUACCUCACCGUCACCGUCGCCGAGCACGACGGCGGCCGGAUGAAGCGGAGCGACGCCUACAGGGAGGUCCAGGCCUACCUCCACCGCGCCACCUGCGACGCCUCCGCCGGCGUCCGCCACCUCCGGGCCGAGCCGGCCAAGAACCCCGACGCGUUCGUCCUCUCCAUGGCCGACCGCGAGGAGGUCGCCGACGUGUUCCGCGGCGGCGUCACCGUCUGGUGGCUAGCCUACUCGACGCCGCCGC
rnacentral:lncRNA from 1 species